rnacentral:rRNA from 1 species
UUAAAUUUUAUUUAUUAAUUUUAUUAAUUUGUACUUAAAAUAUUAAAAAUAAUUUUAUAGGAAAAAGUUUUAGUAUUGUUUAAAGAAAAAAUAAUUUUAAUAAUAGUUUAAUAGUAUUGUAAAAGAAAAUUGAAAUAAUUUGAAAAAAUAUUAUUUUAAA